rnacentral:rRNA from 1 species
UACAGGGGGGGCAAGCGUUGUUCGGAAUUACUGGGCGUAAAGGGCUCGUAGGUGGCCAACUAAGUCAGACGUGAAAUCCCUCAGCUUAACUGGGGAACUGCGUCUGAUACUGGAUGGCUUGAGUUUGGGAGAGGGAUGCGGAAUUCCAGGUGUAGCGGUGAAAUGCGUAGAUAUCUGGAGGAACACCGGUGGCGAAGGCGGCAUCCUGGACCAACACUGACACUGAGGAGCGAAAGCCAGGGAGCAAACGGG